rnacentral:rRNA from 1 species
GAUGAACGCUGGCGGCGUGCCUAAUACAUGCAAGUCGAGCGAACAGACGAGGAGCUUGCUCCUCUGACGUUAGCGGCGGACGGGUGAGUAACACGUGGAUCACCUACCUAUAAGACUGGGAUAACUUCGGGAAACCGGAGCUAAUACCGGAUAAUAUAUUGAACCGCAUGGUUCAAUAGUGAAAGACGGUUUUGCUGUCACUUCUAGCUGGAUCCGCGCCGCAUUAGCUAGUUGGUAAGGUAACGGCUUACCAAGGCAACGAUGCGUAGCCGACCUGAGAGGGUGAUCGGCCACACUGGAAGUGAGACACGGUCCAGACUCCUACGGGAGGCAGCAGUAGGGAAUCUGACGCAAUGGGCGAAAGCCUGACGGAGCAACGCCGCGUGAGUGAUGAAGGUGUUCGGAUCGUAAAACUCUGUUAUUAGGGAAGAACAAAUGUGUAAGUAACUGUGCACGUCUUGACGGUACCGAAUCAGAAAGCCACGGCUAACUACGUG